rnacentral:rRNA from 1 species
AUUGAACGCUGGCGGCGUGCUUAACACAUGCAAGUCGAUCGGUAACGCGGGGGCAACCCUGGCGACGAGAGGCGGACGGGUGAGGAACGCUUGGGAAUCUGCCUAUCAGCGGGGGACAACACGGGGAAACUCGUGCUAAUACCGCAUACGCUCUACGGAGGAAAGCCGGGGACCGCAAGGCCUGGCACUGAUAGAUGAGCCCAAGUCGGAUUAGCUAGUUGGCGGGGUAACGGCCCACCAAGGCGACGAUCCGUAGCUGGUCUGAGAGGACGAUCAGCCACACUGGGACUGAGACACGGCCCAGACUCCUACGGGAGGCAGCAGUGGGGAACAUUGGACAAUGGGGGAAACCCUGAUCCAGCGACGCCGCGUGGGUGAAGAAGGCCUGCGGGUUGUAAAGCCCUUUCGGUAGGGACGAAAGCUCUCGACCUAACACGUCGGGAGGUUGACUUAACCUACAAAAGAAGCACCGGCUAACUCUGUGCCAGCCGCCGCGGUAAUAC